AAGCCUCGAUCAUUGUCCAUACGGGUUCAGCUCUGCUGUGCUCUCUGCCUUCCCAAGCAUAUAGAGGAGCACAGCAGAUCCUCUGGAAAGGCUGCUGUGAAGCACAGGAAAAGGACUCUGCCUGAGAGCAUCACUGUGUACUUUAAUGCUCCAAGUUCCUGUGUGACUGGUGGGGAACUCUCUAUGCUGCCUGAUUCUGAGUAAAUUGCCUCUUGAAAUAGGAAGUGCUGUUUCUUUUCAUCUGUUGAGGUGCAAUACAAAGGCCAAAUCUCCACCCAUUCUGAAUAUAGCAUUCCUUAGGCUCUAUCUUAUAAAAAGCUGAGGUGUGCUGCAGGAGAACAAGGCAUUUCUUCAGCCUCCUCAGAAACAUCUCGUGACUAAUUGGAAGGAUGAAGCUUCUGGUGCUUUGUGGCUUUCUGUUUGUCUGUCUUCUGUGCUUCAAUAUCUUUGCUGCAGAAGGUCAGAAGGUUAGAAAACGCUGCUGCUCAAAAGUACUCAAAAUCAAGAAAAAUCCAGAUAAAGAUGUAAGUUUUAAAAUGACUCCAAUGGAAAAAAAGAAAUACUGCAAGCCUUGUCCUCGGCAAUUCCAUCCAGUGAUUCCUGGACCACUUCCACAGCUAAAAUGAGCAGACUGAGAGGAGGGUGAAAAGCAUCUGCCUACACGCACAACUGGCACUGCUUCACUAUCUUGAGGACUCUCCUUUCACAGAUAGGACAUGAGUGUACAUUGCUUUUUGUUUGGGGAAAGGUUUCAAUACUGUUUAUUCAUUCCUUCACUCAGGCACCCUUAUUAUUAUUAUUAACCCAGCAGAAAGAGUCAGGCAAAGUUGUCUGGCUGCCACCAGACUUCGUUGGUUGACUAUUCCUCUGCAGCAAGAAGGGAUUUAGCUCCUCAAGCUAAAGAGAAUGAGGAGACCUGGUUGAAGUGAUGGCUGAAUUGCACUGGUUUGCAUUUCUCAAUUGCCUAAAAGGUGGUGAAGGGCUGAUGCUUUUGUUUCUAGUUAUCAGUAUACAUGCAUAUUUAACCUUUCCUUUGAAUCAUUUAUUUUACAUUAACAAAGGUGGUUUUUGUAUGAUUAUCAGUCAUUGAUGAUUUUUCCUGCAGCCCUUGUGCUCGGUGCUUGCGAUCCACUUGGAAGUAGAUUUCUACAAAUGAUAAAAAUCUCAUCAUUUAGAAAGGGCUGAGAAACUAGAUAAGUAGGUUGUUAAAACAGUGGUGAUGGGUCAGAUUCAAGUAAGCUUUUUAAUGUCUUCCAAGGGUGCUAAAUCUGACUUCACAAUCAAAGUGGCCUGGUUUUUAACUUCCUAAAGAGUGUCAUCAGGUGGUUAUUAAAGAGCAUACUGGAAAGAUAUUAAACCUAAUCAGGUUUCAUCUGUUCCUCUAAAGCCAGAAGGCAGCUGUUCUUUCAAGACAAUGGAGUUGUGUGAUUACCUCAAUAAACAAAGCUUACUGGAGCAUGAAAUAAAUGCUAAGAAUAAUACCAAAGGGCUGAAUAACAGAGAAAAUGAAGCAUCCACUGAUACUUUAGUCAUGCAUCUUUUGUCCUUUCCUAACUGUCCUCUGCAUUGCUGCUAUUUCUCUGCCUGAGGGAGAGUCCUUAAAACUGAAUUACUUUGUUGUUCGUUUCCUUCUAGUGAAUAUGAGGAGGAGUAGAAACCCUUGCUGCUGCUGGGAAAAUUGUAGAUUGCAAACAGUAAUUUUUCUGUCAGUACUCAUAGUACUACUCUUUCUCUUAACAUAAUUGUCAGUAUGAUAGAAAUGGUUUCGGUGCCCUUCACGAUUUGGGGGAGUUGAAUGGGAGCAGUCAGAGGUCUGUUGUAAUGCACACAGGCAAAUGCAAUUCCAAAAGGUCAAGUUUAUGGGCACUUACUCAGGGUCCUGCUCUUACUGGGAAUGUUUCUAUUGUACUGAGCAAUUGAACCUAUUUCUGGGUCUUCUGUGUGCUUGCUAUUACUUUAUUUUCAUACUGAUUUUGAGAUGAGGUAGAUCUGACACUCAGCAUCCUAUUUUUGAAGACCUGACCAUGCAUAGCAUUUUUUAUAUCAAGGAUAAAGGAACUGCCAGUCCUCCUUGCAAGAACUCUGAAUCAGGAGGUUGGUGAAGGAGCUGUGUUUCAUUGUUAAGUUGCUGGUCAGGGGCCAACAUAUUUUAUUUCUAUUGUUUUGUGGAGCUCGCAGAAAGAAUAUGUAGAAUAUAAAUGACAAGCAAAAAAGCUUUUUUAGUAUUGUUUGCAGCAGGGUUUUUUCCUCUGUAAAAUAUGGCCAUGAGUUUACAGCUCUGUAUAAAGCAUCACUAACAGGUUUGAAGAUUCUGUUCUCUAAUGUGAGUUUAAGCCCUUUUCUUUUACGUCUGAAAAAAGCUCUGUGAUUUUCCUCUUUGCCUUACACCCUCCAAACAGCAUGCUCCAAACUGUCCAACUCACCUUCAGGCAAAAUGUUCCCUCUGAUAACAAAAGCAUAUGCCCCAGAGACCAUUAACACAAUUAUUACAGAAGUACUCUGGAUCUCUGGAGAGAUCCCAGGACAUAAUUUACUGCACUUAAGUAUUUUUACUCACUGAAUUUCCCAGGCUGGCCUCAAUCCCUGGCGGGAGGCUAUUCCAGUUAAAGAUGCUACUUGUCUAAAGUCCUAGCCCUGGCUGAGCAGACCACAGCAGGAACCUCCCAAUAAUUUCAGCGUGGAUUGUGACUGCUGCCCAAAUGCUUUGUUGCUUCAUAUGGAAGUAUCAGAAUGUUGUAUGUCCUCCUGAAAGUAGUUCCUCAGCAGAGUUUGACUCCUAUGUACCAAAGCGUUUCCCAGUGUGGUAGAACAGAUUUACCAUCUGAUCAUGGUUCCACUUACAGGCGUUUGUUCUUCCUUUUGUUUUCCUUUCACUUCUACCCAUAUAUACCGGAAGAGAAACAUAUUUGCUCAGUGACUUUUCAAAAUACACAAGCUGUAUGCUUAUAUAAAGUAGUAAAUUUAUCUUGUCCAAGCUGACAAAUGCAUUUUUUGUAUCUUGUGAUUUUGUGUGCAUUUGGCUGUCAAGCAAGAAAAUUGCAUGGCCCUUAAGUUGCAAUAAAGAUGUUUCUGAAGUGUCUCUAUGCCUAAC